GCAGUGGUGGUUCAGUGAUAGAACUCCCACUUUCAAUGUGGGAGACCUGGGUUUGACUCCCAGCGAAUGAA
rnacentral:tRNA from 1 species